rnacentral:rRNA from 1 species
UACGUAGGGGGCGAGCGUUGUCCGGAGUUACUGGGCGUAAAGGGCAUGCAGGCGGUCGGACGCGUUUCGGGUGACAGCGGGUGGCUUAACUACCCGAGUGGUCGAAAGACGGUUUGACUUGAGGACGCGAGAGGGACACGGAAUUCCGGGUGGAGUGGUGAAAUGCGUAGAGACUCCGGAGGAACACCAAAGGCGAAGGCAGUGUCCUGGCGCGUAACGUGACGCUGAGGUGCGAAAGCCAGGGGAGCGAACGGG